rnacentral:rRNA from 1 species
GCAAGUCGAGCGAACUCUUCGGAGUUAGCGGCGGACGGGUUAGUAACGCGUGGGAAUAUGCCCCUGGGUACGGAACAACAGCUGGAAACGGCUGCUAAUACCGUAUGAUGUCUUCGGACCAAAGAUUUAUCGCCCAGGGAUUAGCCCGCGUUGGAUUAGGUAGUUGGAGGGGUAACGGCCCACCAAGCCUGCGAUCCAUAGCUGGUUUGAGAGGAUGAUC